AGGGUGUAAACGCUGCAGACUUGGUGUUGGAAAUCCUUCGAGGGUAUUCAGUGCCGGAGAGAAGUUGUUAAGUCUGCUACUUGGGGAGUACGUCCGCAAGGAUGAAACCUAAAGGAAUUGGCGGGGGAGCACCGCAACGGGAGGAGCGUGCGGUUUAAUUGGAUUCAACACCGGAAAACUCACCAGGGGAGACUGUUACAUGAAACCCAGACUAAUGAUCUUGGUUGAUUUUCAGAGAGGUGGUGCAUGGCGUAGACGUCU
rnacentral:rRNA from 1 species